rnacentral:SRP_RNA from 2 species
GCCAGGUGAGGUGGCGCACACCUGUAGUCCACCUACUUGGGAGGCAGAGGUGGGGGGAUCGCUUGAGCCCAGGAGGUCGAGGCUGCAGUGAACCGAGAUCACGCCACUGCAUUGCAGCCUGGGUGAAAAAGUAAGACCCUAUCUCUC